rnacentral:rRNA from 1 species
AACGAACGCUGGCGGCAUGCCUAACACAUGCAAGUCGAACGAGACCUUCGGGUCUAGUGGCGCACGGGUGCGUAACGCGUGGGAACCUGCCCUUAGGUUCGGAAUAACUCAGAGAAAUUUGAGCUAAUACCGGAUAAUGUCUUCGGACCAAAGAUUUAUCGCCUUUGGAUGGGCCCGCGUAGGAUUAGCUUGUUGGUGGGGUAAUGGCCUACCAAGGCGACGAUCCUUAGCUGGUCUGAGAGGGUGAUCAGCCACACUGGGACUGAGACACGGCCCAGACUCCUACGGGAGGCAGCAGUGGGGAAUAUUGGACAAUGGGCGAAAGCCUGAUCCAGCAAUGCCGCGUGAGUGAUGAAGGCCUUAGGGUUGUAAAGCUCUUUUACCAGGGAUGAUAAUGACAGUACCUGGAGAAUAAGCUCCGGCUAACUCCGUG